rnacentral:lncRNA from 1 species
CCAGGGCAACCGAGGAGGUGCUGGGGAGAGGGGGGGUCCCAGGUGGCCCUGGUCUGAACCUGGGCUUCGCUUGGGCAGACCGAAGGAGGGUGGCGGCAUCUCGGGGCUGGUGACAGCCAGGGACAGAUGGCCAGGCUGGACAGGUCGGGGGCCAGGGAUCAGAGCCCCAGGGCCAGCGGCCUCUGCCCUGCUGUGCCCCGCCACGUUUCCCUUGCUUUGCCUUGAUGUGCCUGGAGUCAAGCUAGACCGCGCCGCCACGUUUCCCUUGCCUUGCCUUGAUGUGCCUGGAGUCAAGCUAGACCGGGCCCUGCGCCUCACCCCGGCUUUCAGGCUUGACCUUUCCCAGCGACGCCGUUCCCAACCCCUCAGCGGGUCCCCGGACGCAUGGCCCACCCGUCCAAAAAUGCCACGCCUUCGGGCAUCCAGCCCCGGCUCAGAUGGGUCUGGCCCAGGACAGGUGCGGGUGAGUCGGGGCCUCCAGCCCGGGGCCCCUCGUGAGCUGCGACACCGGUCUUCCUCCCUUCCAGCCCACAGACGCUGCUCAAGAAGGAGCCCCGGGCCUGCAGUCCAAGGGGCCAUGGCCAGCCGCCUGCUUAGCAACCCUCAGUUCUCUGCGGCUCUGCAGCCCUGCUGGGCAGUGAGCUCCGGCGCCCCCUCCUGUGGGUUCUGCCUGCCGGCGUGAAGUCACAGGUGAGUGGACAGCGGGCCUCCCACGCGCACGAAGGCUUCUACGGCCCGUUGUGGACUUCGGUGGCCCCAGGACCACGCUGGGGAGGCCACCGGGUCCCAGGCAUCCGAGGACCGCGGGAAGCACCCCGCCCAAGAAAACCUCCCUGGGCCUCUGUGCGGGAACCGGGGUCUUUCCUGCGGAACCGCUGUGGGGAGACCUGGGCGGGAAGGCGAUGCCCGCCUCCUUCCCACCCGCAUGUCCUGCUCUGCAGGGUAAGGGGGGCUCCUCGAGGGGGCCUCAGUCAGUGGCCGGCCAUCGUGGGCCAGUAACCCGGGGCCCCUCAGGCCAGCCCUUUGGCUUGUGGGAUUCCCCUUUCUCUCAAAUGCGACCAAGUUGCUGUGAGCUUUUUUAAUAUGUUUGCUCCCAGGAGAGUGGGUUACUGGUUCAGCCUGCAUGAAGUUUUCAAGGCAGUUUUUUUCUUGUGCUUUACUUUCAUGUUUUGCCUCUUUCAAAUAUCCGAUCCAGUUUGGCUCAUCUUUUUCCUUGGAAAGAAUCCUCUAAAGGUACAUUUUCUUUCCUUCCCCCUGGCAUGGAAUAAAGGCUAUUUGUUUGUGCUUUCAUAUUCUGCUUGGUUUUUCUUCCUGGUGUGAGGGGCACGAACACAGUGUAUUUUGGUCUCUUGUUUGUGCUCAGACCCAGUGUUGAGUUUCGUCAUUUUGCUGGAUCCCGCUUCUCUUAUGGAUCAUGGAGUUGCCAGAGUCCUAGUGCAUGGAAAAGGCUGGUGUCUGCGUUAGAUCCAGCUUGUGUAUGUGUUCAGCACAAACCCUUCAUUCCCC